GGUUAAAAAGCUCGUAGUUGGAUUUCUGUUGAGAACAGCCGGUCCACCUCUUGGGUGAGUAUCUGGAUUGGUCUCGGCAUCCUCUCGAAACUCGUUGCUGCGCUUGAUUGCGUGGUGCGGUGUUCGGGACUUUUACUUUGAGGAAAUUAGAGUGUUCACGGCAGGCAUUCGCCUUGAAUAUAUUAGCAUGGAAUAAUACUAUAGGAUCUUGGUUCUAUUUUGUUGGUUUCUAGGGCUAAGAUAAUAAUCAAUAGGGACAAUUGGGGGCAUUCGUAUUACGGCGUCAGAGGUGAAAUUCUUGGAUUGCCGUACGACGAACUACUGCGAAAGCAUUUGCCAAGGAUGUUUUCAUUGAUCAAGAACGAAAGUAAGGGGAUCGAAGAUGAUUAGAUACCGUCGUAGUCUUUACCAUAAACUAUGCCGACUAGGGAUGAGGCGUCGUUCUUCUAUGACUCGCUUCGCACCUUAUGAGAAAUCAAAGUUUUUGGGUUCCGGGGGGAGUAUGGUCGCAAGGCUGAAACUUAAAGGAAUUGACGGAAGGGCACCACCAGGAGUGGAGCCUGCGGCUUAAUUUGACUCAACACGGGAAAACCCACCAGGUCCAGACAUAGUAAGGAUUGACAGAUUGAUAGCUCUUUCUUGAUUCUAUGGGGUGUGGGUGCAUGGCCCGU
rnacentral:rRNA from 1 species